UACUCAGAAGGGGCCAGGUUGCUUAGACUGCACGUGACCUGCGCCAUUCUGAGUAU
rnacentral:pre_miRNA from 1 species